rnacentral:rRNA from 1 species
AGGGCACCACCAGGAGUGGAGCCUGCGGCUUAAUCUGACUCAACACGGGAAAACUCACCCGGCCCGGACACCGCGAGGAUUGACAGAUUGAUAGCUCUUUCAUGAUUCGGUGGAUGGUGGUGCAUGGCCGUUCUUAGUUCGUGGAGCGAUUUGUCUGGUUUAUUCCGAUAACGAGCGAGACUCUAACCUACUAACUAGUCCGCAUGUUCGCUUGCUGCAUGCUUGGGACUUCUUAGAGGGAUUUUCGGCGUUUCAGCCGCACGAAACUGAGCAAUAACAGGUCUGUGAUGCCCUUAGAUGUCCGGGGCUGCACGCGCGCUACACUGGCGAAAUCAGCGUGCCUGUCCUCUCGCGAAAGCGACUGGUAACCCGGUGAAAUUCGCGUGAUUGGGAUCGGAAUUGCAUUAUUUUCCGUGGACGAGGAAUUCCAAGGUAAGUGCGAUCAUCAACUCGCGUUGAUUACGUCCCUGCCCUUUGGAACACACCGCCGUCGCUGCGAGAACUGGCAUUUCCGAGAAA